AUUGAACGCUGGCGGCGUGCCUAACACAUGCAAGUCGAACGAUCCCGCAAGGGAGAGUGGCGGAAGGGUGAGUAACACGUGGGAAUCUACCUCCUCGCAGGGAACAACCUCUCGAAAGAGAGGCUAAUACCCAAAAGGGUCAGAAAUGAUCAGAGUCGAAAGGCGUGAGGAGAGGAGCCCGCGGCCCAUCAGCUAGUUGGUGAGGUAAUGGCUUACCAAGGCUACGACGGGUAGGGGAUCUGAGAGGAUGUCCCCCACACUGGAACUGAAACACGGUCCAGACGCCUACGGGUGGCAGCAGUGAGGAAUAUUGGACAAUGGGCGAAAGCCCGAUCCAGCAACGCCGCGUGGAGGAUGAAGGCCUCGGAUUGUAAACCCUUCGGUAGGGAAGAUGGAGCGAGCAAUCGUUCGGACGGUACCGUCCAGAAGCAGCCACGGCCA
rnacentral:rRNA from 1 species